CCACGGGUGGCUGCAGUGGGGAAUAUUGGACAAUGGGCGAAAGCCUGAUCCAGCCAUGCCGCGUGUGUGAAGAAGGCCUUCGGGUUGUAAAGCACUUUCAGUGGGGAAGAAAGCCUUGGGGCUAAUACCCUCGAGGAAGGACAUCACCCACAGAAGAAGCACCGGCUAACUCCGUGCCAGCAGCCGCGGUAAUACGGAGGGUGCGAGCGUUAAUCGGAAUUACUGGGCGUAAAGCGCGCGUAGGCGGUCUGAUAAGCCGGUUGUGAAAGCCCCGGGCUCAACCUGGGAACGGCAUCCGGAACUGUCAGGCUAGAGUGCAGGAGAGGAAGGUAGAAUUCCCGGUGUAGCGGUGAAAUGCGUAGAGAUCGGGAGGAAUACCAGUGGCGAAGGCGGCCUUCUGGACUGACACUGACGCUGAGGUGCGAAAGCGUGGGUAGCAAACAGGAUUAGAUACCCCGGUAGUC
rnacentral:rRNA from 1 species